rnacentral:rRNA from 1 species
UGGGGAAUAUUGCACAAUGGGGGAAACCCUGAUGCAGCGACGCCGCGUGAGUGAAGAAGGUUUUCGGAUCGUAAAGCUCUGUCCUUGGGGAAGAAAAAAAUGACGGUACCCAAGGAGGAAGCCCCGGCUAACUACGUGCCAGCAGCCGCGGUAAUACGUAGGGGGCUAGCGUUGUCCGGAUUUACUGGGCGUAAAGGGUGAGUAGGCGGUAAUGUAUGUCAGGUGUAAAAGGCACAGGCUUAACUUGUGUAAGCACUUGAAACUGGAUUACUUGAGUGCAGGAGAGGUAAGUGGAAUUCCUAGUGUAGCGGUGAAAUGCGUAGAUAUUAGGAGGAACACCAGUGGCGAAGGCGACUUACUGGACUGUGACUGACGCUGAGUCACG